UAUUAUCCUCGCUCCCUCUUAGGAAGUGGUGGGAUAAUCAUUCCCCAUUUAACGGCUGGGAAACCUGGCACAGCACACAUUAAGUGAUUUGCUGACAGGCACACAAGAAAAUCGCGCUAGUCAAGCGUUCUCCCAAUUAUGCCAUCCUUGGAACUGCAUAAUUUCCCUGCGUGAUUCCAAACACGGCUCAGACUCCCUGGGCAGGGCUUCAUCUCUGCAGAGCGUGCAGCUCAGAUCAGCCGCCAGGACCCGUCUGUGUCCCCCCGGGGGCUCCUCGGGCCACGGACCCGCAGCUCCGGUGCCACCGCAGAGGCGCAGGAGCCCUUGGGGCAGCUGUGUCUUACACAGGACAAGAGGGGACAGAACUUUUCAGACCUUUGUUUGUCUGCAGUCAGAGCAGUGGAACCAGAAAUGGAACCCAACAUCUUCCCCAACAUCAGAAGUUGCCAUUAGAAAAUUAACAGAAAAGCUAUUCAAAAAUUGUGGGGUUUUCCUUCUCCAGAGGAAAAACACAAAGAAUUUUCAGUUGGAAGACCUUAACUCCAAGGAAUUUCUGCAUCUGGCUCCACACUGACCCACAAACAGCACCCCUGGUUCACCCAUCCUUGUCUUUUUUAAGUUAAAAAGGAAAAUUUCCAGGCUCACAGCACUUGGGAUGCUCUUUGCACACUGUGAAGGAGUUUCCUCCUGCCCCUGUGGCUCCUUCAGGAAUGAGGAGGGGUCUGGGGACAGCUCUGCUCCCACUCUGGGAGCUCAGCCCUGGCUCCCCCUGGGUUGGAAACACAUGAAAAUGUUUUCAGACCCCAAUUCCUCAGCGUUUGCCUCCGACAGUCGAUCUCAAGGGAUGGAUAAUCUCAUUUACCUCUGUUACUACAAAUCAAACCAGCAGCAAAUUAAAUGGAUCUGAAGGCCAAGAUUAAAGGCUCCAAACGCUUGGGAAGUGCCUGUGAUGCAAAGAGCUGUAAAUAUAAUUUCCUUUUUUCAGCUGGGGGGGAUGGAAAAGCCCUACCCAGAUGCUGCUCUCUUACCUGGAAAGCAAGGACAGGAUCAUGGAAGAAUUAAGGCUGGAAAAGACCUCCAAGAUCAAGUCCAACCACUAAUCCAGCCCUGCCAGGCUCACCACCAUGGCUGGAAAAGGAGGAAAAAAAUCAAAAUGAGUUUGUUCAUCACCCUUUUCCAGCUCUGGGAAACGCCUUUGUGGCCAGCUGAGGUUUAGGCUGGCUCAGAGCUGGGGCUCAGAGGGGCUGAGCCCAGGACUGCUGGUUCCCUGGCUGGGAUUUCAGGGAUUCCUGGCCCCACUGAUGCUUCUCCAGCUUCUUUUCCUGAGGUGGGACACAGGACAUCACCAGAGCCCUCCUGUGCCACAGAAUCCCCUGGGUCAGACCAAAAAUCCUGCGUGGAUGGAGCAGCAAAACUGGGAGAGCUCCCCCAGAAAAAAAGAAAUGCAGGAUCUGACACUGAGCAAGCAGAUGGGAAAGAAAUGGGUGUGAAACCCUGGUUAGAAAUGGCACCGUGGAUGUUCCCUGGAAUUUGAGCCCCAAGUCCCACUGUCGCCCUGGUUUUUUAUGAUUUUUCUAAACCUUUUGAUGUUUACAUUCUUGUAAGGAACUUUCUCACACACUUCCUGUAAAUAACUCAUUGUUUUGCAUUCUCUUAUGGAGGAGGAGAGAUUGGAUGGUUUGUCCAGUGUCAUUGGAGAGGUGGCACUGUCACCCUCCAAUCCACUGUCACUGUUGGAAAUCUGUAAAUGUUGGAGUCAGAAAUUAAACCUAGAAACUAAACCUAUAAAUGUUGGGGAUCUAUAAAUGUGGGAGUCAGAAAUCAAAUCUAAAUCUAGAAACUAAAUCUAUAAAUGUUGGGAAUCUAUAAA